UUUCCGGUUGAUCCUGCCAGAGGCCAUUGCUAUCAGGGUUUGACUAAGCCAUGCGAGUCGAGAGGUGUAAGACCUCGGCAUACUGCUCAGUAACACGUGGUUAACCUGCCCUAAGGUGGAGAAUACUCCCGGGAAACUGGGGCUAAUGCUCCAUAGUGGAUAUGUCCUGGAAUGGUAUAUCCUCGAAAGAUCCGUCGCCUUAGGAUGGGACUGCGUCCGAUUAGGUUGUUGGCGGGGUAACGGCCCACCAAGCCAUUGAUCGGUACGGGUUGUGGGAGCAAGAUCCCGGAGAUGGAUUCUGAGACAUGUAUCCAGGCCCUACGGGGCGCAGCAGGCGCGCAAACUUUACAAUGCGAGCAACCGUGAUAAGGAAACCCUGAGUGCCUGUCGAUGCAGGCUGUUCAUAUAUCUAAAUCAUAUGUGAAGAAAGGGCAGGGCAAGACCGGUGCCAGCCGCCGCGGUAAUACCGGCUGCUCGAGUGAUGGCCACUAUUACUGGGUUUAAAGCGUCCGUAGCUUGACUGUUAGGUCUCUUGGGAAAUCUUCACGCUCAACGUGAAGGCGUCUAAGAGAUACCGGCAGUCUUGGAACUGGGAGAGGUAAACCGUACUUCGGGGGUAGGAGUGAAAUCUUGUAAUCCUCGAGGGACGACCUAUGGCGAAGGCAG
rnacentral:rRNA from 1 species